AUCUUCUAAUAGCUUAGAAAGGGAAGAUAAAGCUCUGAUGCAUUAGGUAACCAUUAAACUUGAAAACAAUCAGAAGUCUUCAAUCCUGGUAAAAAAAGCCACCAGUUGUGCUUUGAUUAAAUAUUGGAAUGACAUCCAGGAGUGUCCUUGGAGAUUUGCCAACCCUUCUCUGGUUUCUUUUGGUAAACAAUCCAGUUGUAUCGCAGCAAGUGAUUUUGACCUGUACCUGUCAAGGACAAAGGUGCAGCACCAGGAAACUCCAUAAAAUACCUUCCUGAGCAACACUUUGCAUAUAGUACUCUUGUCAGCAAUCAGUAUAGAAACCAGGAUCAGAGAAAAGAAACUCUUCUAAAACACAGCUAUACUUCUGGACUUCUGCAUGUGCUGUUGAUGAAGAAUUACAUUUUACAGCCUGGACAGUAUAAUAGCUUUUUACUGAUAGAAGUGUUCACCACCAUUCAUUGCUGUGUAAACAAAGGUGACACAAAGGUGAGACGCAGUCCAAACAGAAGUGCUGAGUAAAUCACAGAAUCACAGAAUCAAGUGCUGGAAGGGACCUCAAGAGACCAUCAAGUCCAUCCCUCAGCUAAAGCAGGUCCCCUACAAUAUGUCGCACAGGUAGGUGUCCAGAAGGG
ensembl:lncRNA